rnacentral:misc_RNA from 1 species
GAUGAAGAACGCAGUGAAAUGCGAUAAGUAAUGUGAAUUGCAGAAUUCAGUGAAUCAUCGAAUCUUUGAACGCACAUUGCGCCCGCCAGUAUUCUGGCGGGCAUGCCUGUCUGAGCGUCAUUUCAACCCUCACGCCCCUAGGGCGUGGUGUUGGGGAUCGGCCAAAGCCCGCGAGGGACGGCCGGCCCCUAAAUCUAGUGGCGGACCCGUCGUGGCCUCCUCUGCGAAGUAGUGAUAUUCCGCAUCGGAGAGCGAUGAGCCCCUGCCGUUAAACCCCCAACUUUCCAAGGUUGACCUCAGAUCAGGUAGGAAUACCCGCUGAACUUAAGCAUAUCAAUAAGCGGAGGA